GAUCCUGCACCGAUCCCGCUCCCUCCCUCCCUUGCUUCGUGCGUUGAAAACUAAAAAAUAAAAACAGAAAACAGAAACAACCGCACCCACGACCCCGUCUUCUCCCAACCUCCUCGAUCCCGAUCCCCUCCAUCUUGUGAGUCCUGACGCACCCACACGAUCUCCCCUCUCUUCUCCCCACCCGGUCGGGAAGGGAAGCCGUUUCAUCAUCCGCCCCGUCGUCCGGCGCCCGUCGCAUCUCCUACAUGGUCCUCAUGGCCACCUCAGCACCCGUACACCCCGUCACCGUAGAUGGAGAAGCCCACAGAUUCGCUCAGCCGCGGCGGCCCUAUAGGCCGGCACCGCUACGCUGCCACUGUUGCCCCUCCAACGUUGAGAUUGGAUGGCGCUGGGCAAAUGCUUGUUUGCGCUGCCGCUGGCGGAAGAGGUUUUUUUUCAUCCCACUUGAACAAAGAGGAGACGAUUGAGGAGUUUCUGGCCAUCUGGUGCACGCAUCCGCCACAACGGCCCAAGAAGUUGUCUCUAUCUGAGAUCGAUGUAAGCAUCCUCACAUAUGCUUGUCGAUGCCUGAUUUUAGGUCCUGGUGCUGCUUGGUUUGUUUGGAACUACAUCUGUUCGUCCCGGGGGUCAUAUCUUCAAUCUUUGGUCGUUGGUUCAAUUGAGUUGAUUAUGUACAUGGAUAAAUACUUUGGUAGUGUACAGUACAAAACUAUGUGGUUAUCCACCCUCACUGUGAAUCUAUCCUAAUCAUGUUUCUCAAGUCUGAAUUGUUAGUAGACCGGUUGGAGGAUUAGUUGUCCGGCUGCGCAAAGGAGACCAUCAAUUUCUACAAACAAAAAAUAUUCGGCAAGAGGUAAGGUAUACAGUCACGCAUAUUUUUCCUUCACAUACACCCGAUCUCUUUGGCAGCCCGCCAGCACUGGAGGCCAAUCAGGCGAUGUACAAGGAAUAUAACCACAUCAUCAAGUGAUGUACAAGGAAUACGGCCACAUAAUCAGGCGAAGUACAAGGAAUACGGCUACGUAAUCAAGAGAUGAACCUUUAAAUGCUCAUAAUACAGGGAAAAAGGUUGGACCUUCAUCUGGUUGGUGUUCCAGUUUCACGUAAUCAUGAGUUGCACCUUUUAAUGCUCUAUUUCUUCUGUCGCACGUGUUUCUCGUGUGAUUAUUCUUCUGUUGCACGUGUUUCUCGUGUGAUUAUAGCAGGAGUUUUAUCUCAAUAAUGUCAUAUUGUGCAGGUGCCACUUCAAUUAAUUAGUGUGAUGUGCUAGCUAUCGUCUCUUGGGAUGUUUUUGGUCUCAAAGCAAUGACAUUCAUUAGUCAUUACCUUAGAGGGCAUGCUGCCGAAGGCAACAAUGACAACAUGUAGCGGCGAUCCAGGUGACCACAUGGUUAAAUUCUUCAGUUCACCCUCAGAACACCUAUCUAGAUUAGAAAAAUCAUGUGAUAACGUCCUAUCUUAGUUUUUUUUUCUCCAACAGAUCAACAUAUUAUUUAGGACGAACACCUAGACCUCCUACACUAAUGAUGUUAACCAAGGAAAAGUUGUAGCAUGGUGAUCUGUUAAUGCGUGUCAAUCCAGCAAGUGAUAACUAUUAAAUCAAUUUUAUUUCACAACUCCAUGGCAAUACAAGUUGCAUCGGUAAGUUCAGUUUAACGUAAGAAUUUGGUUAAUGGGUUCAUCUCACACAAAAGCUUGCAUGCAUUGGCACAAUGGCACGGUUGGUUUAUUGUUUACAACGUGCAGAUCAAUUUACACUUGAGGUUGAGCUGCCCAUAUGGCAAUAUAGUUCACUAUGAAGAUCACACAUGCCAUGAUUUUUGUAGUGAGAUUUCAGUAAUAUCAUUUCGACUGACAACACACCAUUGCUACUACUUUGCUCUUGCUUUCUGUUGAAUAUCAUCAUGUAUGGUGUUUUUCAGUGGAGAACAACACACCAUUGCUACUACUUGCUCUUGCUUUCUGUCUAAAAUCGUCAUGUAGAAUAGCCUACUCGGUCAUCAGGAUCUAAUGCCGUUAGAUUUUUGCGUGGUUUGGAUUAUCUUCCUUUGUGAAGCCAUGAAGGACUUAACCAGAUAGACCAUCUUUAAAUAUACUUUUGGUAAAUUUAUAUCAAUGUUUAGCAGUUUAGCUCUUACUAUGCAACGUUGGUCAUAAUUUAGAAUGGCUGUCCUGAGUACAUUUGAUUUGAGUAACCAUGUGUAGAACCUAAAUUCGUAACAUGUCACACCUGAACGGUUAAGAUUACCGAGUAGAAAAAGAGAUAAAGGAUUUCCAGGCUUCUAAUAUGGUUUCUAAAUUGAAGGUACGUAUCUUUUGCAUAACACAUAUCUUGAAUCAAUGUUUAAUUAUUUUAAUUCCUUGGAUGCUUAGGUUGGUCCCGUAAUUUUGCAUGCAUGUAAAGUUUGGAUUAUGCAUGGUGUAUAAUAGCCCGUAAUAUGAAUUAUUUUAAGCUAAUAGUUGUCUUAUGUUUGUCGUCUUGAUUUAGAGAAGAAAAAUACAUUUCUCUUGGCAAGCUGUCAUUUGUUUGCAAACUCGGUACGGAAUGAUGAUGGCAAAUAUAUGCAUCAACAGGAAAGCAAACAUGUAUGAGUUUUGAGCUGUGUAAAUAUGAGGAUAAUGAGUAUUCACUUGCGGUUUUAAGUCUGGUGUACAUAUUUAGAACUAAAGAGAGGGAAAGAGAGACCUUCUAACUCAUACUUGAGACUGGAAGUCAUUAAUGCUAGGAAUUUUCUGUACAUUGCCAUAUAUGACGGCAUGUUGUUUUGAUACAUAUAGAUACCUGAGAUGUUUCUGUGUGAAGUUGGAGCUAUUAAUCUAAGCUUUUAUUUUUGUACCACUUCAUUCCUUACUCUUUUCAUCAAGCUAUAAUAAAUCAUGGUGAUGUACCCAUCAUCUUCCCGUGGAGUAUCAUCGGUAUAAAAAAUACAGCUCAGGAAAUUGAAGUGGCAAAUUCAUAGAGCUAAGCUAAUAGGGUAAAUUUAAAGCCCAAAAUUCAUAGGGUUAUUAGUAUGUUUUUUCUAAGCUAUCUUUUAGACUUUUGCUUGAUAUUCCGUAGCAUGGUAUAUGUUCUGUUUACAUUAUAAAUUUGUUCCAGCCCCCUCACCCACCCAAGAAUUGUUGAUGUGAAGUGUGAGGAAAAAUUGUUGCACAUUAGUUCACAUUUGUUAAGUGUUGGUUGCAGCAUGUUGUGAUUGUUAUAUAUGUCCUCCUUGAUUAUCUUUUUUUAUGUUUCCUGAUUGUUUAUACUAAUGUGUGCCCUAUAUGUGUAGCCCCUUUUUGUAGGAAACAACAAUACACGCAAGCCGGAGGCACAAAUGAAGACCAACUGGAAAGAGAAGUAGCCAAUGAUGAGGAAGAUCACCCUCACGCUUUAUCUUGUCAUUUGGGUGGGACUUUGGUGUGGAGAAACAAACAUGGUGAUCGCUAUGGAUGGAAAAAGACAUCGGAGUUUGUGAACGAGUUUUCAAAAUUUGAAGGAAAGAGAAAUUAUUUCAAUGCAUGGUAGGAAACUUCAAUCUAUGUUUGUAAAUAAAUAAGCUAAGUAUGCACUUAGAUAAAAAGAGAAGGAAGAAUAACUUCUGUCUUUUUAUUAGUGGGGUAUAUGAGAAAUAAGAUGCGUGUCAAGAAAAAAUAAAACCAAUAGAGA
rnacentral:rRNA from 1 species